GACGAACGCUGGCGGCGUGCUUAACACAUGCAAGUCGAACGGAAAGGCCCUGCUUUUGUGGGGUGCUCGAGUGGCGAACGGGUGAGUAACACGUGAGUAACCUGCCCUUGACUUUGGGAUAACUUCAGGAAACUGGGGCUAAUACCUGAUAGGAGCUCCUGCUGCAUGGUGGGGUUUGGAAAGUUUCGGCGGUUGGGGAUGGACUCGCGGCUUAUCAGCUUGUUGGUGGGGUAGUGGCUUACCAAGGCUUUGACGGGUAGCCGGCCUGAGAGGGUGACCGGCCACAUUGGGACUGAGAUACGGCCCAGACUCCUACGGGAGGCAGCAGUGGGGAAUAUUGCACAAUGGGCGGAAGCCUGAUGCAGAAACGCCGCGUGCGGGAUGACGGCCUUCGGGUUGGAAACCGCUUUAGCCUGUGACGAAGCGUGAGUGACGGUAAUGGGUAAAGAAGCACCGGCUAACUACGUG
rnacentral:rRNA from 1 species